CAUAUUGGGAGGAGGCGCCUUGGACUUGUCCGGCGCCCACAACCACAGCUCGGGCGGACUGAGGGCUAGCUCCCGUCAGGCGGGGAUGGGGGUUGAGGGUGGAGGCAGAAGAAGGAGGCGGAGGCAGCGCGCGGGAUGGGGGAGGGAAGGGAGGAGGCGGACCUCCGCGCAGAGCCACGAGGGAACCGCUAGCCAGUCCUGGGUGAAACUGACGCUGCCAGGCAAGUGGCGCGCGGGGAUCCCGGUUUCCCAGCCCCCUUCCGGCAGGCAGCAGCCCGGGCGGGGGACACACUCCGUGAUCCCCUCCUGGCUGGAGGGGUCAGGCUUGGUGGACCCAGCAAGCAGCCUGAUGGAGAAGGUGGCACCAGACGCAGACCCCUACCGUCCAGGACCGCAAGCCCUCGCCGGCUCUGCGUGCUUUUAGGUUUUGUCUCCACCUCUGCACACCCACACUCGCCUCCUGGGCCGCGACAGCUUCCUUCUGUCAAUCAGGUGUGGACGGGAAGGUCUCGAAGUUUCCUCGCCUGAGUUGAAAGCUGGAGGUGGGGGCACCUCUGCCCGUUCCUAACUGCCCCGUUAUAAGGUCCCCCUCCCCACAAUUGGUUCUCACCUCGCCCUCGGAGCUCUUGGGAGAUCCCUCCGUCCCUCCUACUGUGCCCUCGGGCAGAUGAGUCUGGUCCCAGCUUCUGGACUGCCCACUGUCGGCCACUUGAGAGUUGGGGACGGUGGGGCAUUGUGACGCUCUCCAACCUUGGAACACGGUGGCAAAGUGGCCGAUCAAUAUAUGGGACAAGUGGGGGCGGGGGGGCGGACUCUAAGGUGGAAAAAACAAUACUACUUGGGAUUUAAGGAAGCAAUCUGGAUUCUGUCUCCCCUUGGUUCUUCGGAGCUUAGAGGUCUAACGGCGACAUUCCUCCUACAGUAAGGGCUCUUCUGGGUCCCUCGUUUCCAAAGGCAUGAAAGUUCUGACCUGAAAAUGGGGGCCGGGGAGGGUGAUGUCACAACCAUAUAACGCAGCUCCUUCAGCCGACUCCCACCCGCAAGAACUGAGACCUGACGGAUAAAAGCAGAGAGGAGUCAGAGUGAGCGCUGCGUUUGGGAAACUGCAUUCCAGGGCAGCAAGACUGGUGCCAAGACGGAGUCGUGGCAAAAGCAUCCGGAGGUCUUCCUUAAUAUAUGUCAGCAGUGGAGUGGUGUGCUUAAGGAGAGAGAGACUUGGAAAAAUACAGACCGAGAACAAGGCCAUGUGGAGAUAGAGGCAGAGACUGAAGUUGUACCACCAAAGGCAAAGAAUAUCAAGUAUUAUCAGUAACCACAGGAAGCUGGAAGAGGCCAGGAAAGGUUUUUCUUAGAGACCUUGGAAGGAGCCUGACCCUGGAACACCUUGAUUUUAGACUUCUGACCCUCAAAAUUGUGAAAGAAUAAAUUUCUGUUGUUUUAAGCAAUUCGGCUUGCAGUAAUUUGUUACAGCAGCCCUAAGAAAAGUAAUACAUAUCGAUAACAUUUAUUAUUUCCAUUUUGCUGACUCUUUCAAGUUCUGUGCUUAUAAAUUCAUCAUAGUGAAGUAAGCUUUAAAUGAUAAAACUUUGAAAGUAUACUCAAAUUCUGUUGCUAUAGUUAGCACAAUACAGAAA
rnacentral:lncRNA from 1 species